rnacentral:lncRNA from 1 species
AAAGACGAGAUGAAAGUAUACCUAGAGGGACCUGUUUUCCUAACUGAUGUGUCAUUUGAGCUAACCUCAGAAUCAAAACUUUGGCAUAAUUCUGGAGAAUGUGGUCACCAGAAAGCACAACAGAUGUUACUCUGGGACUACCACAUUGUGAAGGAAUUAUAACUGAUUUCUAAGACUUCAAAUUCUUAAUUGUUGGCCACUUGGCUUUACAAUGUGAAAAAGAACAUAUACAAAUAGGAUGACACACUGAAUGUCAGAUUUACGGUGUAUGUCAAGAAAAGAGCACAAACAAGUGGCAGUACCGUUUAUUCUCAAGCAAAAAUAUCUAAAGACAAACAUUCUCAGAAAUGCUGAAAUUACAUAACAUGAAUAAUGUAGAUUUUUAUUUACUUUCUGCCUAACUCAAAAAAAAAAUACAAAAUGACUUUGAAAAUAAUUCUUUUAAAGCUCCUCAAAAGAAACAAUGUAAAUCCAAACCUGUGACAACAAAAAUGGAAGGUUUGUUUAAAAGAAAAGGUGUAGG